rnacentral:rRNA from 1 species
CAAAGGAGUGAUCCGGCAGAGGAUGGACAUGCGGCGCAUUAGCUAGUCGGCGGGUUAACGGCCCACCGAGGCUACGAUGCGUAGGGGUUCUGAGAGGAAGGUCCCCCACACUGGUACUGAGACACGGACCAGACUCCUACGGGAGGCAGCAGUGAGGAAUAUUGGUCAAUGGGCGGAAGCCUGAACCAGCCAAGUCGCGUGAGGGAAGACGGUCCUAUGGAUUGUAAACCUCUUUUGCAGGGGAGCAAGGCGCGGUACGUGUACCGCGAAGGAGAGUACCCUGAGAAAAAGCAUCGGCUAACUCCGUGCCAGCAGCCGCGGUAAUACGGAGGAUGCGAGCGUUAUCCGGAUUUAUUGGGUUUAAAGGGUGCGCAGGCGGACUGUUAAGUCAGCGGUAAAAUGUCGGUGCUCAACACCGGCCGGCCGUUGAAACUGGCAGCCUUGAGUGAGCGAGAAGUAUGCGGAAUGCGUGGUGUAGCGGUGAAAUGCAUAGAUAUCACGCAGAACUCCGAUUGCGAAGGCAGCAUACCGGCGCUCAACUGACGCUCAGGCACGAAAGCGUGGGUAUCGAACAGGCUUAGAUACCCUGGUAGUCCACGCAGUAAACGAUGAAUGCUCACUGUCCGGGCCGUUUAAGGCCUGG